rnacentral:snRNA from 1 species
GUACUUACCUGGCAGGGGAAGCACUGUGACCACAUAGGCGGGCUUCCCAGGGUAGGGGAGAUUACCAUGAGCUGUACGGUGGUUGCCUCUGUUUAAUUGGUGGAGU